rnacentral:lncRNA from 1 species
UUUCAUUAUGUGAUGAAACACAACAAAUUUCAUAAGGAAAAACUUUAAAAGCACUGUUAUAGUUAUUGUGUGUUCUACUCUCUGUACCUAAUAUUAUACUUGCUUUACAACUAAUGUUUAAUUUGACAUCUUCAUAGCAAUCACAAAUACACAAUUCGAAAAACAUAUAAACCUAAAUGCAAAACAAAAUAAUAGUGAUGAAUAAAAGACAAUUUUCAUAAAAAAUUAAGUGUUCC